rnacentral:rRNA from 1 species
GAUGAACGCUGGCGGCGUGCCUAAUACAUGCAAGUCGAGCGAACAGACGAGGAGCUUGCUCCUCUGACGUUAGCGGCGGACGGGUGAGUAACACGUGGAUAACCUACCUAUAAGACUGGGAUAACUUCGGGAAACCGGAGCUAAUACCGGAUAAUAUAUUGAACCGCAUGGUUCAAUAGUGAAAGACGGUUUUGCUGUCACUUAUAGAUGGAUCCGCGCCGCAUUAGCUAGUUGGUAAGGUAACGGCUUACCAAGGCAACGAUGCGUAGCCGACCUGAGAGGGUGAUCGGCCACACUGGAACUGAGACACGGUCCAGACUCCUACGGGAGGCAGCAGUAGGGAAUCUUCCGCAAUGGGCGAAAGCCUGACGGAGCAACGCCGCGUGAGUGAUGAAGGUCUUCGGAUCGUAAAACUCUGUUAUUAGGGAAGAACAAAAGUGUAAGUAACUAUGCACGUCUUGACGGUACCUAAUCAGAAAGCCACGGCUAACUACGUG